rnacentral:rRNA from 1 species
AUUGAACGCUGGCGGCAGGCCUAACACAUGCAAGUCGAGCGGCAGCGACUUAACUGAACCUUCGGGGAACGUUAAGGGCGGCGAGCGGCGGACGGGUGAGUAAUGUCUGGGAAUAUGCCCUGAUGUGGGGGAUAACUAUUGGAAACGAUAGCUAAUACCGCAUAAUCUCUUCGGAGCAAAGAGGGGGACCUUCGGGCCUCUCGCGUCAGGAUUAGCCCAGGUGGGAUUAGCUUGUUGGUGAGGUAAUGGCUCACCAAGGCAACGAUCCCUAGCUGGUCUGAGAGGAUGAUCAGCCACACUGGAACUGAGACACGGUCCAGACUCCUACGGGAGGCAGCAGUGGGGAAUAUUGCACAAUGGGGGAAACCCUGAUGCAGCCAUGCCGCGUGUGUGAAGAAGGCCUUCGGGUUGUAAAGCACUUUCAGUAGGGAGGAAGGUAGUGUAGUUAACACCUGCACUAUUUGACGUUACCUACAGAAGAAGCACCGGCUAACUCCGUGCCAGCAGCCGCGGUAAUACGGAGGGUGCGAGCGUUAAUCGGAAUUACUGGGCGUAAAGCGCAUGCAGGCGGCCUGUUAAGUCAGAUGUGAAAGCCCGGGGCUUAACCUCGGAAUUGCAUUUGAAACUGGCAGGCUAGAGUCUUGUAGAGGGGGGUAGAAUUUCAGGUGUAGCGGUGAAAUGCGUAGAGAUCUGAAGGAAUACCAGUGGCGAAGGCGGCCCCCUGGACAAAGACUGACGCUCAGAUGCGAAAGCGUGGGGAGCAAACAGG